rnacentral:rRNA from 1 species
UCCACCGAUUGACUAAGGUUUCCAGAGGAAGGCUCGUCCGCUCUGGGUUAGUCGGGUCCUAAGCUGAGGCCGACAGGCGUAGGCGAUGGAUAACAGGUUGAUAUUCCUGUACCACCUAUAAUCGUUUUAAUCGAUGGGGGGACGCAGUAGGAUAGGCGAAGCGUGCGAUUGGAUUGCACGUCUAAGCAGUAAGGCUGAGUAUUAGGCAAAUCCGGUACUCGUUAAGGCUGAGCUGUGAUGGGGAGAAGACAUUGUGUCUUCGAGUCGUUGAUUUCACACUGCCGAGAAAAGCCUCUAGAUAGAAAAUAGGUGCCCGUACCGCAAACCGACACAGGUAGUCAAGAUGAGAAUUCUAAGGUGAGCGAGCGAACUCUCGUUAAGGAACUCGGCAAAAUGACCCCGUAACUUCGGGAGAAGGGGUGCUCUUUAGGGUUAACGCCCAGAAGAGCCGCAGUGAAUAGGCCCAAGCGACUGUUUAUCAAAAACACAGGUCUCUGCUAAACCGUAAGGUGAUGUAUAGGGGCUGACGCCUGCCCGGUGCUGGAAGGUUAAGAGGAGUGGUUAGCUUCUGCGAAGCUACGAAUCGAAGCCCCAGUAAACGGCGGCCGUAACUAUAACGGUCCUAAGGUAGCGAAAUUCCUUGUCGGGUAAGUUCCGACCCGCACGAAAGGCGUAACGAUUUGGGCACUGUCUCAACGAGAGACUCGGUGAAAUCAUAGUACCUGUGAAGAUGCAGGUUACCCGCGACAGGACGGAAAGACCCCGUGGAGCUUUACUGUAGCCUGAUAUUGAAAUUCGGCACAGCUUGUACAGGAUAGGUAGGAGCCUUUGAAACGUGAGCGCUAGCUUACGUGGAGGCGCUGGUGGGAUACUACCCUAGCUGUGUUGGCUUUCUAACCCGCACCACUUAUCGUGGUGGGAGACAGUGUCAGGCGGGCAGUUUGACUGGGGCGGUCGCCUCCUAAAAGGUAACGGAGGCGCUCAAAGGUUCCCUCAGAAUGGUUGGAAAUCAUUCAUAGAGUGUAAAGGCAUAAGGGAGCUUGACUGCGA